rnacentral:rRNA from 1 species
UUACGACUACAUAUCAGGCAUAUCAAUAAGCGGAGGAAAAGAAACUAACUAGGAUUCCCUUAGUAACGGACGAGUGAAGCGGGAAGAGCUCAAAUUUGAGAUCUUCAAGGUUCUACCUUGACGAAUUGUAGUUUAAAGAAGUGUUUUCUGUUAGAUGAGUAGCAAAAGUUCCUUGGAAUGGGACAUCAUAGAGGGUGAGAAUCCCGUAUUUGGUUAUUCAUUCUAGCUUUGUGAUACACUUUCAAAGAGUCGGAUUGUUUGGGAAUGCAGUCCAAAAUGGGUGGUAAAUUUCAUCUAAAGCUAAAUAUUGGCGAGAGACCGAUAGCGAACAAGUACCGUGAGGGAAAGAUGAAAAGAACUUUGAAAAGAGAGUUAAACAGUACGUGAAAUUGUCAAAAGGGAAGCGUUUGACACCAGUGUUGUUUUUCCGAAAAUCAAUUACGAAUGGCUUGAUUUUGUGUUGUAUUGACCUUAUCAGCUUUCUGCACUUUUUUCGAGUCUUUCUUAAUGCACUUUUCGGUUAACAAGUCAACAUCAAUUUCUUUUGUUGUAAAAGAGUAUUCGGAAGGUGGCUUUCUUUUCGGAGAAAGUGUUUAUAGCCCUAUACUUCUACAAUCGGAGAGAUUGAGGUCUGCAGCGUAGAUCCUUCGGGGUUAGAUACACUUGUGCUAAGUUGUAGCUUUUCAUAGACAACUUGUUGACUAUGUUUAGUCAUGCGGCUUACUCGCUUGUGCUAUUUUACCUACGCUUAGGAUGUUGAGUAGCGACAUACGCAC